UGACAUCAUUAAACGGGUAACAACGCAAUCGUGUAGGAACCUAUAUUUGUCUUUAUAUAAUUGAAACAGGCGCAAAAUUGUCAUUUAUGGAAAAAAAAAAAAAAAAAAAAAUAACAGACAAUAACUAUCAAAGUCAUUUCAGCAUUCACAGUUCAAAUAGGAUAUCUUUUAUCCUUCGUUAUGGGGUGAUGCAGGCCUGUAUGUUGGACUUGAUCAUGCCAUCAUGAUAAGCAGUACCAGAGAGUGGAGAUCGAGUGGGUGUCAUCCCUAAAUCCAGAACUUCCAUAUAACUUGGAAGCUGAAGUUCGAUGGUAUUCUUUGGCAUCUCAUCAUUGACAUACAAAGGACAGUAUCCAGUUCCAAUAGGUGCGAGCUGACCUAACACAAUAUUCUCAGUGACCCCCGCAAAUAAUCUGUUUCAGCAUAAGCUGCAGCAUCAAGAAGAAUGUCAACAGUUUCUUCAAAUGAACAUCUCAUCAAGGGUCCAGUAUCAAUCCUGUUGAUGCCAUGACGAGUGAUGGCCAUCAAGUGGCCUAGAUAGGUCAUGGUAUCACAAAGGAUAGCCAGAUGCCGAUAAUUCACAUAAGAGCCAUCAAAAGAUAUGACUGCUCGCAAUUCAUGCAGCAGCACCCUACGAACUGCCUCAAUCUCCAGCACUUCAAUCAUUUCAACCAAGUGAUUGCUUGUUGUCCUUCUCGCAUCAACUUCUUCAUGACACAUAACAGCUAAAAGAUUCACACCUUCAGCGUCCAGCAUAAAUUCCUUUUCCGACUUAAAUCGUUCAUUAUCAUCGUACUUGGUUGAUUUAACCUUUUUAAUGAACACCUUGUUGAUAUGGGGGAUACCUUGGAGAGCCAUUUCCAGCAGCAUGUUAUUCUCAAUCUUUUCCAAGAAAACAUCAUCUUCAGCUGAUUCAUCAUUCAGUCCUCCUAUUGGAGCUUCAUUAUUCAUGAUACGAGUACGAAGGACGGGUAUACUGAGGAUUCAAUCCCAGGAGUUGGCAGUCCUCAUCAGUUAUUCUUGCCAGAACUUCAAGUACCUGAAAUAUGGUUAACAAAGUUAGCAUCAUGAAACAAGCAGGUGAAAAUGAAACCGCGAAUGUGUUGCCUUCAGAAUAAGUUACCCUUUCUGCAGUAAGUGUCUGCUUUCUUUCAACAGGUUCAGGAAGUUGUCCUUGAUCAUCAUUCUUUUUUCUUUGAGCCUUGUACUCUGCAAUCAUAUUCAUGCCGUCAAUUGUCAGCGUUGGUUGCAGAGCACCACAGCCACUCUUUCUCUUUCUAAGAGGUUCUUCACCAUCAUGACCAAGGAGACUGAGGACAUCAAUCUCAUCAUCGCCUUCCCAUUUGUUUUUGGUUUUACAUGCACACAAAAUCUGUUCAAGCCUGCUCUUGGGGUUCCUUAUUUUCAAAGCUAGCUUAAACUUGCCAUCUUCCUGCUUGAAAAAUAAGCAAUCACGCAUGAAGCAGACAAUAAUCUACUAGAAAUUUUAAGGAUGGACGAACAAUCAAACUAUGAAAGAAACAACUUCAUCUCAUCUACACUAUUGGGAACCAAAUAGAACAAGAAAGGGAGGAUAAAAAAAAAACAGUUCAGAUAACCAAGUACCAUGGAAAGCCUACUUCAAAAUGCAUAUAAAAAACCUACAAGGCAUCUAUCAUGAAAGCAGAAUUCGUAUCCAAAUCCUAUUUCUCAAUGGGAAAAUGGAGAUAAACAAAAUUGACUACAUCUAUACUUUAUAAAAUACAUGACAUUAAUAAUACAUGCACGAAUAACCAAUGAUUCCCUGAUGCUAGUAAAGAAUACAAUUUACAACUUAUAGCCGUAUCAGGUUAGUACUCUUUCAAAAUUUCUUUUCAUUUUUUUUUCCUCCUUCAUCAGCAACCAACCAGACUACCAAUAAAUUACAAGAGAGAAACGCUAAGGCCAAAGGAAAAUUACAAUUUCGUCAGGGCUGAGAAUGCUGAACUGGACCAACCGGACCUUGGCGACCUCGCCUGGAGAGUACGUAAAGCUAUUUUCCAUGGCGAGCUCUCCAAGCUUUGAGUAGCAGCACAGUGGCAAGCUUGAAGUGUCAGCUAGAAAUGCAGGGCAAAACAGCGUAAUAAGACCAAAUUACCCUUUGGAGUUGCUCGGCUGUCAAGACUGAACACUAAUCGGCCCAACUACCGCAAUAACAACAGUAACUGACUAUUGUGCGUGUAUAUGUGGCAACGGCUGAGUUGCAAUAUCCGUAACUUACAGCCAGCCAAUAUGAAUCGUUAGAUUUGAGGGUCUGAAAUCGAAUGGACGGGAAAUAACAUACGAAACUUAUAAAUGGGUCAAAGAAUUUUUCAGCAAUUAGUGGGCAUACCGGGAACAAUGGUUUGAAAUAUAAAAGCGAGUGAUCGGUUCUGAGUAAUAUGAUUGAAGGGCAAAAAAAUAAUUAAUUAAUUAAAAUAAUUGUGAAUCAAUCACUCACAAAUAGGGGUGGGAAUAAAACAAUAACUAUAAUAUAAUAAAAUGAUUGAUUAAAUUAUAUUUAACCGAUUACAAGCUAAUUAAAUUUUUUUAGAAGUGAAAUUUAACCGGUUCUAAAUAUAUUUAAAAAAAAAAAGAUUCGUCUUUUAAUAAAAGAAAAAAUUAUAAAAAGAAAACAAAAAGUAAUAGAGACUAGCUGGAGUGCGAUUUGGGUGGGUGAUUCAAGAGGCUGAGUUUGAAUUGUACUUGCCUCAGCCACUUUUAGAUUCUUCUUUUGCGUAAUCACAAUAUGACCUGAUUGAGUAACUGAGCACGAUGGCAAGAAUCUUCUUUCUAGAUACAAGAUGCAAUUCGGCGUCGGCGAUUGGAGAGGGUAAGAGUUUUGAAUGCUAUUCGGACCGCUUUUGAUAAUUUAGAAAACCAGCUUGAGGUUUUGCAUGUAAGACUUUUUUUAGCUUUUCUUUUUGGUUUUUGUAAGUUUUAGAUAAUGUGCGUCUCUUUUGGUUGUGAUUUGUUUUGUUCCGAGAAAAUUGAGGGUGAAAGAUGAAAACUUUCAGUUUUAGCACAAGUAACCUGGCUAAUUGUAUUGGUUAUCGAAGUACCAGAUUGGUCAUCGAAUUAUUGCGAGCGAGUUUUUGCAUGUAGAUGAUUUAAUCAAAUUGUUAUCUGAUAAACAGAUGAUUGCUCACAGCAGGUUCCCUCUCCUUUAAAUUAGUUUAGGCAAAGUAAGUCAUCAUCAUUUGGAAGUUUGCAAUAGACUGUAAAAUGAGCCAGUCUUUGUUUAAUGAAAUAUUUAAUAUCAUAAAAUUUGCUUAGAUGAAAAAAUUAGAGGGGAUAUUAUUGAUUUGCUAAAUUAAUUUAAUGACAUAAUUUCGGUAAAAUUCAAAGUUCAAACUCAGUCAUUUAUAAUUGUUUGUCUUGCUAUUCAUUUUCUUUAAUUCCUCUGUUCUUCAUUUGAGUUUCAUCCGCUACAGCACCUCAUUAGGUUGCUGAACAAGAUGAAUAUUUAGAUAACUAUGCAUGACAGGAUCAAAGAAUAACAAUUAAUAAAACUUCAUUUCUCAGCUAAAUGGCAACAAUAAGAUUGUUCAUUGGUUUAUCGAUUAACUACGAGGAAUCAACAUGAAAUAUUCGGCUUAUGUUCAAUUUUCCACUAAUGCCUAUGCAAACUAAAUUUAUGCAUGUAAUUAAAAAUUAUGACAGCACUAUAUCGAGAUUAAUCUAAUCAAGAAAUUAAUUACCUAUUAUUUUGUUUUUCUUUUUAAUUUUUCUAAGAAAUCUCAUUAUUCUAAACAAGUUUAAUUUGAAAUAGUAGGACAGAGAAGUGCCUCACGAGAAUUAAGAGCAUCGAUGUUCAAGUUGUCAUGAACGGGGGUCAGUUAAUUUCAUCAAAAAGACGAAGACGUCGAUUGUCACGAUCACUACUAUCAGGUAACCCUAACUUCAGGUUCAGAUCAAUUUUGUUAUCAGCAUCUUGGAGAUCAUAGCCGUUCACGUUUGUUGCUGCUGCUUGAUUGAACCACCGAGAAUCCAUGGUAGGCGAAAUGAUCAAUUUCUAUGUCUACCGUCAACCAAAAACAACUUGGAAAAUCAGUUUAAAUAUUGAGAGAAGAAGAUCGAUAGGUUAAUAGCUAGCAAACGGAAGAGAAUGAGAGAGAAAUGAAGUUAAUUAAUAAUUUGGUCAUGCAUGAAAUGUAGGAAACUGGUCGAGCACUCAAUAGAUAAAACAAAACGACCUAUAAGACUGAAAUAUAUAUUACAAAUGGACGCACUUGUUAUGUGAUAAGAUUACAAAAAUCAUCAUUAGAUGAGAAAAUUUAGACAGAUAUUAUAAUAAUAUUCUUAAUUCAUAUAUCAAUUAUCUAAGUUCAAUUUCCAUUGAGAUGUAUGAUCUAACUAUAGAUCUGAUUAAUUUGGACAUGAAUGACCAGCAAUCUAAUCAUAUAAACAUGAACAACGUAAAUAUUAUUAAGCUUUUGUUCAUCAAAGAUCUAAAAGGAAAAUUUUACAUAAAUUAAAAAAAAAAACUUGGAAGGAUAUAUACAUGCUGGUUCGAAUAGAACGAGCUGAAAUUUUUCAAAAAACUUUAUUUAUUUAAACCCUUAACCUACUGGUCUUGAAUCCGAUAGGACCCAAUUCUUUUACAAAGAUUUAAUUGUGUUACGAAGUUCAUCCACAAAAAAAAAAAAAAAAUCAUAAACCCUUGACCAAACUUGGACAUUCAAUGAACUGCGAAAAAAAAAAAUGAUCAACAACACUGAACACAGAGCAUCAUCUCCCAAUCGAUUCAAAUGGAUAGAAAACAAAUUAACGAGAAAGAAAGUAUCAAAUCCAAGGAUAAUUUUUCGUAUGUUCACAUAUUGUAUAAGAGCGUUUGAUAUUAAUGUCUUGUAAAUUUUAAAUUAUAGCUACUAUAGAAAAAGAGCAGUAUUUAUGAAAUAAACAUUAAUAGUAACUAAAUAUGGCUUUUAAUAAUAAUUUUGACAAAAAUUAAUAAAAACCUUACAGGUUUUUCAUCUUACAAGUGAUAAAUCAAAACAACUUAACUUUCAAGUUAUAGCAAUUAAUAUUUAUUAAAUAUUUUAGUGCUGCCCAACCUCGAUAAUAAAUAGGGCCUUAGUGAGUGAUCGUCCAAUAAUAUAAGAACAUUGAAGCUUAAUAUUUCAGGCGCAUUAGUUCUUAAGAAAUAUAUAAAAUCUAUAUAAGAUUUUUAAGAUUAAUGGAUCGAAAAUAUAUUUACUCCACGAUUUAAUGAUGAUCGCAAGUAUUGGUGUAAGAAAUACAUAUAUAGUCUAUCAUGGCUCCGAAUAAACUUCCUGAAUAAUUUUAUUUUGUGAUAAUUUGAUUUUUUAAAUUAUAAAACAGCUUUUUUUUUUUUUUUUGUUUAUUAAAAUUUUGAUGCAGCCCUCUCAUAAUGCUCGAGCUCACACAAGCUAGAAAAAUGAUUUCGCAUAAUGUAGUGUAUUUUCAAUUAUUUAAUUUUAAAGUUUUUUUCUUUUUUAAAAUUUUAAAAAGCUCAUUUAUUAAAUAUUACCGUCUAAAAAAUUAACCGCAACCGCGCAACCUUAUCAUGAUACUUCUUAUUAAUUACUUACUACAAAAGCAACGCAAGUAUGGCAACUGUAUUGUUAUGAUUAUUUCAUAACAAUAAUCUGAUAUGGCCUUAGCUCUUCACUUUAUCACCGUGCGCGCAAUUCAAUUAUUUUUCGCUCAAGCUCAAGUGAGGUUAAAAAAUGAUUUUGAAUAUCUUUUAACAUUUUACCACAACCUUAUCAUAAUAUUUUUGAAUUAACUACAUACUUUAAAAAGGAGCAAAUAUAGGGUAACUAUGUUGUUAUAAUUACUUUUAGAAACAGUCACGCAGUCAAGCUCGAGUGAGCUUGAAAAUGAUUUGGAAUAAUUUUUGAAAUAGUUCAAAAGAGUAAUUUUAUUACCGUUAUUAUUUGAUUGUAGUUAAUUAUCAAAAGAGUGCUUUAAAUAACAUUCAAAAUAUAAUUUUUAUCUCAACCAUCUCAUAAUCCUUUCAUUACCAUUUCUGUUUUAAACCACACGGAAUAAAGCUCAAAUGAGUAUGAGCUUGAAAAAAAAGGUUUUCAGAAUAAUAAAAAAUAAAAGAAUUAGUUAUUACCACCAAUUUUUAGAUGUUAAAUUAAAAUAAACAUCAUGGUAAUUGGAAAAGCAGUUAUGAACUAAAUAAAAAUUUUGUAUCAAAUAUAGGCAAAUUUAUUUUACAUAAAAGUUAAAAGUAUGUGGUAAACAUACAUACAUUCAUAUAUAUAUAUAGAUAUAUAGACACACACACACACACACACAUAUAUAUAUAUUCGGGCCUCUAAAGGGUGAUUUCAAAAUUUUGAACCAAAUUUUUACGCUAAUGUAAGUAGUUAUGAAACUAGAUUAUAAAAAAAAGAGAGUCAACUUCAAACCCCAAAAUAAUUUCUAAGGAAUUUUAGGUCUUUUUUCUGAAAAAAAAAAAAAAAAACCUGAGAAAAUAUGAGAAACUUUUCGGAAUGAUAUGAAAGUAUUAGAGAAAGAGGGUUUUGGUGGAAGAAAACCAAACUGAUUUUUAAAGAAAACCUUAUUUUUUUUCGAAAUCAUUUUGUACCUAAAAUCGAAAGUUAUACACACUAUUUUGGGUCUCCAAAGGUGAAAUCAAAAUCCCAAGUUGAUUUUUUGCCUGAAUGUAAAUAUUUUUGAAAUUAGAGUAUAUGAAAGAAUGUGAGAGCCGCGAAAUAAUUUCUACCCAAUUUUAGAUUUUUUAUAUGAAAAAUUGAAGAAAUCCCAAAAAAUUGGCUAAACUUUCCUUCUAUUAUUUCUUCUUAUGUGGUAUGACCUCAUCUUUUUAAGGAGGUCUUUCUCAUAGGACAGAGAUAAGUUAUGCAAUUAUGACUUAUUCAAGAGUCCUUUUUUUUUUUCGUAGAGAAUCCUUGUAUAUUCUAUGAGAAUAGUUGCUUGAGAUGCUGUGAAACUCAUUAGGAAGCACCUUUAUGGUCUAAAGAUGGUUUUGUUGGAAGAAAACUAAUUGGUUUACGAAGAAAAAUAACUUUUCUUCUCAUCCCCAGUUUGGGCCAAAAACCAAGGCAAUAGCAAAUGGUCUUGCGCCUCUAAAGGGUGAUUUUUGAACUUGGAGCGGAUUUUUUUAAUGCAUAUAAAUAUUGUUGAAACUAGGGCAUAGAAAAAAAAAAAAAGGGAGUCGAUAUCAUGCCCCAAAAUAAUUUGCACGGAGUUUUCGGUCUUUUUUCAAAAAUUAAAGAAAAUCUCAAAAAAAAUUAGGAGAACUUGUCAUAAUUAUGUGAAAUUCUUUUAGGUCAUCUCUAAUGCAUAACACCAUUUUGGUGUAACACCAACACCAAAAAUAUAAUUUUUUCACACCAAAUUACUAUUUCAUCUUCAACCCAUUUACACCAUCCACGCGUGACGCAGCAAAUCCAGCAACCCAACAGCAGUCCAGCACCAAACAGGCGACGCAACAGCGACCCACACCCACCAGCACCACCAGCGCGAUGUAGCUACAGCCAAUCGAACGAACGCGAUGCGGCAGCAGCGAUCUCAGCUCCAACGCGACCCAAAACCAGCAGCACCAGCAACGCACGCGAACCAACAGCAAACCAUCACCAACUCCAUCCCAAGUAACCUUUGAUUUUUUUAAUUAUUUUAGAAAUUUUGAGAUUACUGAAGCCAUUGUUGAUGUUGUAAUGGAGAGUAGAUUUGUGGAAGAAUCGAGAGAGAGAGUAAAGAAGAAGAAGAAGGAUGUUUCAUUGUUGUCAUAGCAAGUGGAUAACGAAGAAGAAGCAUUGUAUUUCGGUUUCAACCACAAAUUCUUUUAAAAAUUAUUAAAGGGUAUUUAACAUUUACCUAGUUUAUCGUAUUUUAUCUCUUGUAAUUUGCAUAUUUUUAUUUGAUCGACACUUUCUCUAAUUUGUCAUCAAAUUAAGCAAAAUUUUCACUUAUAUAUACAUUAUUAUUUUUCUAUGAGAUUUGGUGGAUAAUUGACACGCUGUAGGAACAAUCAAUCAAAAAGAAAUAAAAAUAAAAUUUUAUUAAAUUAUUAAAAGUCCAAGCCCUGUCCAGGCUCAGCCUAGGCCUGCGCAAGCCUGGCCCUGGCCCAACCAUCUCAAGUUUGGACAGGCUUUAGAGGACUUGGGCUUCUUGCCAAUUACACGAGCUUGGACUUGGGCUUGAAAAAGCUUGGUCUAAGCCUGCGAUUUGCCAACCCUACAUAAAAGUAUCUAACAAUGGUAGGAGAUUUUAGAAAGUGACUAAUAUUUUGGACCUAUCAUUUAGGGAGAAGUGUAUAACUCUUGAUCAAACUAGAAAUCUCAUAAUAGAAGAAAUCUUGUACCUCCGAAAAGAAAGGAGAAAUCGUUUUGAUUCGAGGUGAAUCCUGAUCAACUUUGCCUUUACAAGUUGAGUAAAUAUUAAAAAAUUUGAAAAAAGCUUUGUUGUUAUUUAAGAUUAUACCAGUAUAAUGAGCCCGUUCACGUUUUUGGGAGACCUUUUUUUAUGUAGUUGUUUGUAGUUUUCUUUUCUUCAUUAACAUUGGGUUGGCGUGAUAGUGAACCUAUCGAUUGGUAGAGUACAAGACCGAAAAUCAUGCUCUUUGGAGCCCAGAGAUUCCCAUGCUUUCCGUUGGUUAGCAACCAACAAAAAUUUGAGCUUGACGAAGGUGCUGAUAGUUUUCGUAUGGUGGAGAAGUUCUUACAGGUGUGUGUAGUGAUGAAUGAUUACCAUAUGAGUUUUAAAGGUUUCGAGUGAAUAUAUAGAAGAUCACCUGUGAUUGUCCCAUGAUUGAAUGUCUACACAUGUUACCCAUAAAAUCGGUUGGUGAAUUCUUACUUGUGUGAUUAGGGGUUGCGAAGAUUGUGUGAAUAACAAUUCUGGAUGGGAAAAGAACAUUUUGAAAAAAGCGAAUGAAAGUUGACUAAUGUCGUUAGAUAUUUUAUGAAUAUAUAUCAAUGAGGGCAUCCCUUUGCAUUGAGUUAUUUGAACACACUUCAAUAGUUUUAUUCUAAACUUGACAGGGACUGUAAAUUGGACGAUUUUGGUGAGCCUAAGUGCCUUAAUUGUUUGGAUUUAGCUUUUGGCAAGGGAGAGGGCUUUUGACUUUUUGUUUGUGUCCUUGCUGAAAUUAUUAAUAAUAUUAGCCUUACCCAAUUCAAACAAUGAGCCAACAAAUGUGCUUUAUAACAGGUAGUAGGGGUGGGCAUUUGGUUCGGUUCAGAGGGCAUUUGGUUCAGUUCAGUCUGAACCGAACCGAACCGAACCGUAUUAUGGCAAUUUGGUUUGGUUUAGUUUUUUAUUUGAACCGAACCACAUGGUUCAAGAAAAAAUUAAAAUUAAAAUUAAAAAGGUCAUAAUUUAUCUUUUUUUUUAUUUCUAUUUGUUAGUUAAUACAUGCUAUUAUAUAUGUCAUAGCAUUUGUUAGUUAAUACAUGCUAUUAUAUAUGUCAUAGCGUACACUUUAUUUUAUUGUUGAACUUUAUUAUUUUAAUUUGUUAUUGUUAGAUUUUAUUAUAUUGGUUAUUAUUUAUGGAUUUCUAGAUUAUUUUUUUUGGAAUUUAUUAUGUUAAUUUACUAUUGUUAGAUUUUAUUAUGUUGUUUAUUGUUUGUUAAUUUAUAGAUUCAAGAUUAUUUUUGUAUUAAUAGUGUAUUAUUAUAUUAUAUUUUUUAUUGAAUAAUGAAUAUAUAUGAUACAAUCAAACCAAACCGAACCAAAUUAAAUAGUGCCCACCCCUAACAGGUAGGAUACAAGCAUUGUCGCAAGCACAAGAAAUCAAUUUAUAACUUGAAAAAAUAAAUUGUCAUAAGCUUAUAAAACCGACAAAAUAGCUGAAAAGUAAAUAGUUCUAAUACAAAGCAUAAAAGCUAAUUUUGAUCCCAUCUCACAGAUGGGGCAUAACUUUGGUACAAAAUUGACUAACAUCCAUAAUUCCUCUAAGCAGUUUGGUUGUUGGAGCCCUGAUCACUAUUUGAUGUAUGUUUCUUUUGCUUUCCUUUUCUCCUCCUCCUUUCUGUACUUAAUCCCAUAGGCGUUGCAGAGAGUGUAAAACUAGAAAAAUUUAUAGGAUUAAAAGUACUAUUUCAAGCUUUAAUUUACAUAUGUGGGCAAGUGGUAUUAUAUGAGUUUAAGGACUAUUUGUUCAUGUUACAAGUUUAAAUUUAAUACGACUGUUCAUAAUUAAUCUUUCUUUAGAAAACAUAUAUGUGUGUGUAUACUCACACAUAAUGAACAAUUCUUGUACAUAUACUAUUACAAAUGAUGUGGCAAAUGACGUCACUUUAUUAAUGAGUGUAAAUAUUGGUGAUAAGGAAAAUAAUUACUAUAUUCUAGUUGGACUCCAUAAUAGUGUCACAUUUUAUUUGCCUUAUAGUUGGAAAACAUGAGAAAAUCUUAGAUGCUCCCUCUCUCUCUCUCUCUAUGUAUAUAUAUAGUAGUUCUCUAGUUUGGAAUCUUAAAGUGUGAGAAAAGUUCGAUAAAAUUUUAAAAACUAUGGAGUUUAAGAUGCUUAAAACUUAAAAGACUUAAACCACAUUGUCUAUGCGUUUUUCAGACUUUUUCAGACUUUAAAAAUCUGGAUUCGAAAUUUCUCUCUCUCUCUCUCUCUCUCUCUCUCUCUCUCUCUCUCUCUCUCUCUCUCUCUCUCUAUAUAUAUAUAUAUAUAUAUAAUCUCUUAGAUUCUUUCCGCAAGUGUUGGUUUAGAAAUACACAUGGCAAGAAUCUAACGGAUAAAAGUAUGUGUGUAUAGACACUAGCGAAAGCAUCCAAAAUUUUUCCCCAAAAACAAAAUUUGUACCUUCUUUUAUGCAUGUGGAUGCAUCAAAGAAUUACUGUUUUCAAGUCUACAAAUAGUAAUAAUGACAAUAAUAUGCAACAAUUUACAUAUCUUCGGGCCAAGAUGACCUCUACGGCACAUAGGAGUAUCAUUAGUAUUGCAAUUAUAAUUACUGCAUCUUUUAUAAGGAUACCUAUGCGGCCUUGGAAUGCCUGCUGUCCUUCGAGGUGAAGCUGCCGUUGAUGAGUUAGGAGUGCCCAUCUGCUGGUUUCUCGACGCUGGAACGUUGAUGAGUGUGUAACUUUUCAUCGAUGCUUGCGCUGAUGCUGCCGCAGUAGGCUGAAUAUUAUUACUAGGGUUAAUGCUUAAGUUGUUGUAGUGAAGAGGAGAGUUAGGAAGUUGUGAUCCCAUUACAGAAAGAGCCUGCAGGAAAUGUGCUAAAGCCAUAGCCAUUAUUUGGGUGCAUAUAUUGUGCUUGUCUAUGUUGGUUCCUCAAGUUUGAUUGUGGCCACACAAUUUAGUUGGGAUUAAACUUUUGUCCAAUGUUAGUGUUAUUGUUCAUUCCUUCAUUCACCAUUUCAUAGUUGGUUAUUCCCUGUAUAUAAACAAUCAAAAUGUUAGAGAAACUAUUGACUCAUUAAAUAAUAAUAUAUAUGAGAAAAAUUUUCAAUCUGAAAUUAAAGUUGGGAUUAAAGUUCAGGACAGAUUUACGACACCAUAAAUUCGUCGUAGAUCUUAAUUGUAAAUUUUAAUCUUAGAUCUAAUAAGCACUAUAUAUAUAUAUAUAUAUAUAUAUAUAUAUAUAUAUAUAUAUAUAUAUUGGUUUUUUGAUAUGGAAUUUUAAAGUGCCCGAAAACUUUAAAUUCAUAGGGGCUUAAAAUUUAAAGCGUUUAAGUUGCAUGGUUAUGUAUUUUAUCGGACUUUCUUACAUUUUAAAAUUUAGAAUUGGAACAUUUCCUACAUUUAUAAUUUUUAAGCUAUAAAUUACAAACAAUAUUAACCUGCUCUCGUUUAUAAUUUCUCUGUUAUAACUAACUCGCAUUGUACCAAAAUUUUUGUUUCUCCGUGUUUAUGUUAUUAAUAGAACCAUUAUUAGCUAAUAGGUUCAAGUCUCCGUAAUUACAAAUUAUUCCCAAUAACUAUUAUUGGAUUCCAGUUGUUGUCAUUUAAAAUCAUGAUUUAAAACAAGGCAUAUAUAUAUAUAUAUAUUAACCUCAUUUAUGUGACUUAGUAUCACAAUUCAUAAGUGAUAUGAUUAAAGUUAGAAAAAAAAUUGCAGGAUAUAAUGUUAUUAACUCAUAGCUCUUCAAACAAGUGUUGAUACUUAGUAUUAUAUAUAUAUAUAUAUAUAUAUAUAUAUAUAUAUAGUCUAAAUAAGGAAUGAAGGUAGAAGUGGGAAUAUGAAAUUGAUAAAGGUAAGAGAGACCAAAUUCUGGACAGUCUACAAAUCUUGGGGUAUAAAGUUGCAGGGCGAAACUAUCGAAGUUUUAAAGUAAAAGUGGCCAGGUCCUUGUAAGAGAUUACAAAUUUGGCCUGCUAGUAAUAAUUUUUAAGCUAUAAGUUACAAACAAAAUUAUCCUAAACUCUGUAGUAGCUCCGCCCUUGGUCGAAAAUAUUGUUUAAGCAUUUAUUUUUAAUCCGCCUCAAUCAUUUGACAAACGUCAAUGCAACCCUAACCCCAAGUAUUUGUUAAUAGUAAGUAGCAACAGACUGAAAUUAUAUUAAGAUGAAAAUGAUGACCAAAAAAAAUUUUUUGAAGAAAAAAAUAAUUGCUUAAGAAGUCAUUAAUAACUGGAUCGAUAUGGAGCAGUCAAUCUAAUCUGUUAACACCAAUUAUGCAGCCAAAAAAUGAUAAUAAAAAAGGAGAAAAUUUCAAGAAAGAUGACAAUUCUAUACAUACCAUCAGUCCAUGUGUAUCCAAGAUUUUACAAGAAGAUUACCAAAAUAAUGGAUCUAAACAGAUUUGAUAAUUACUACUUCGUAAAAAUUAAAUAAAUAAAGAGAUCAUUCUAAUUAGAUGGUGCAACCUAAGAGAUAUAAAUUAUCAAGUAUAUGAAGUGGAGCUUCUUUUCUGCAUAUUGAUUGAUCAAACAUUAAUUAAUCUUCAUUUCUUAACAAAAUUGCAAAAGAAAAAUAUUAUUUCUCUAUUAGUUUUUUGAUUGAUUUAAUCAAGAAAUCAUAAUUUUAAAAAAAUGAAGACUAAUAUUAAAUUGUAUAUCAUUCCUGAAGAUUAUGUUCAGAUUUUCAUUUUCAAAUUCAAUUUAAUAAUAGAUCACAUUAUUUAGGCACAUAAGUAAGGAAUGUCUAACACAAAGAAUUACCUCAUGAGAAUUAAGAUGCUGACUGUCAUUAUCACUAUUAGGUAACCCUAACUUCAAUGUCAGAUCAAUCGUCUUUCCAUCAUCAUUGUUCUGAUCGUAGCCAUUCAUUUUGGUUGCCGCUUCUUGAUUGAGCCACUGAGAAUCCAUGAUCAAUGAUCAAUUUCUUUGUUUUCCGAGAACAAAAACAACUUGUUACAGUCCAAAAAUGAACAAGCUAGAUAGAGAGAAAGAGAGAGAAAUGAUGUCAAUUAAUCUGUUCAUGCAUGAAACUGCAUAUAUGAAACUGAAGCUCUUAUUGACCAUUGAGAGAGAGAAGACAUGAUACAUAUGCCACCAAUAGAGAUAUACACACGAAAACACACUCUUUUAGUGAUUUAAAAAAAAAAAAAAGAAAUUAUGCACUAGACUACUUAUUUUUUCUACUUUUUUUAAAAUUACACAUAUCUUAAUUUUUUUAGCUGAGUUCCACCUAAAGUAAUAUUUUCUUGCACCCAUUCACCUUCGUCUGCACGCAAUUAAGAAAACUAAUGGAAAUUGAUCAAAUGACUAUUUUACCCCAAAUAUAAAACUACAAUUUUGCCCUAAAUAAAUGAAAAAAAAUUCGUAGUUGGCCGAAACCUAAUCCCAAACUCAAUCCAAUAACCGAAGAAGUCAUGGCUAGCCACAGGAGAUCGGUGAUGGAUGGUCGAUCUUCAGGCUCGAGCUGCUGGUGGCGCGGUCAUCGAUUUGAUCAAGCUAUUGGCGGCAGAGAAAGUAAAGGAGAUUGGUGAGAUGUUGGGUGCAUAAUGAAGAAAGAAAAAGGAGAUGUUGUUGGACUGGGGAAUCUGGGAAAAUGGUGUUGCCUAUUGAAGUUUCGAUGGAGAUUGCUACUGAAAUGUUUAUGGUGGAGUGAAAGCCAUGGAUAAUAAUGGCUGCGGGGCAUGUUGUCGGAGUUUGAGGAGGUCUAUUCCAAGGAAAACGAAGAAUCCAAGUGACUUUGAACAAGCUAGAGAACCACUAUAAAAAAAUCACGACAUCUCUGCAUGGUUUAUUCUUGAAAUGAAAACGAUUAUUGAUUAAAUUCUGGCUACACAUGAUGAUUGUUCAAAUUAAAACAAUUAUUGCCAUUGAUUCCCCAUCCCAAUGCCAUUUACUUUCUUCAAUCUCUACGACUGAUUAUGAAAUAAGGAAUUUUUUUUUAAUUAAUUAUGAAACAAAGAAUUUGAUUGUGCUGAAACAAAGCAUUUCGAGAGGUAGGAAGAAACUAAAAAGCGAUGUUAUUUAUUUUUUGCGGGGUCAAAUGACAAAUUUAUUCUUAUGACAUCAGCGAGGUUUUAAUAGCGUGAACACGAGAGUGGAUGAGUGUAAGAAAAUGUAAGUUCAGGUGUAGGGAUGGCAAAAUAACCUGGACCCAGCUCGGACCCGGACGAACCCGGAUAAUCCGGGCCGGGUUGAACCCGUACCGGAAUGUAAAAAAAACCUGGUCCAGAAUAGAUUUUAAUAACCCGGAUAUAUCUAGGUCCGGAUCUGGGUUUCGGUUAACCCGUACAUCCGGAACCCGAACCCGAAUUUCUAAUUUUACUAUAAUUUUUUAAUUAAUUUUAUUGAUUAAUCUGGAUGUGUUAUUGCUUGGAAGUGUAUUAAUUUUUUAUUUUUAGAAUUUUAAAAAUUGAUAUUGAUUCAUUGAUCCGGGUUCAAAACCCAGAAUCCGGACACCCGAAUUUUCUGGGUUGAACACGGACCUGGACCCGGGUGAAAAAAUCCGGAUUAAAAUCUGGGUCCGGAAAAAGAAAAUGGUAUCCGGGUCCAGAUCCGGGAAGGCUAAACCCAGACCCGAACCCGGACUCGGAUUUUGCCAUCCCUAUUCAGGUGGAACUCAGCCAAAAAAACUAUGAUAUGAAUAUUUUUGAAAAAAUUGGAAACAACAAGUGGUUGGUGGAUAAUUUCCCUCCAAUCUUAUCCUCAUUUGCUUUUUGUUCUUACGUCAUUUAUUCACUUCUAAUUUUGUUGAUUAUUUUUCCCACUUUGCGGCUUAACAAUAAGCUAGACUAAGUGCCUGUUUGGUGUGACUUAUUUAAAAGUUAUAAGUGCUUAUUUAAUCCCAUAAGCACUUUUGAAAUUUUUUUAUGGUGUUUGGUUUUUUUUUUAGUAGAGUUUUUUUAGCUUAAAUAAGCUAAUUUACCUCUACUAGCAAAAGCCCAAAAUUUGAGCUUUUGGGAGUAGAGGUUAGAGAGUUUUUCCAAAAAAUAUAUAAUAUCAAAAAUAUCCUUGACAUAUUUCAUUAAUUACAUAAUACCCUUUGUAUAAAACUUACCCAACGAAAAUUGUUGCCGCCAUAUAAACAUAUUACUGCCGCCACUUCACUUUAUCUUUCUUUUUUUUUUAAAUAAUCAGCACUUUAAUUUUGCAAUUCCUAUACAUAACCAACACUUGAGAGAGCAAUCAUAGUCAUAGCCAACAUUUUUGGUGAGGAGGAUGUCAGAUAAUGCGACACUUCUCAUGUUCCGUUAACAUUUCAGUUAUAUUAUUGAUUAUCAUUUUAAUUUGGAUAGUAUUAUUUGUUUAGGAGAAUAUAUCAAUUAUGCAAUUUUUAAUUUUGAAAAUUAAAGAAACGAUUGAACUAAUUUUUUCUUAUUAAUUGAUAGCUUGGAUGCAUUUUGCUACAUAUUAUAUAAUUAUGAAAACAUAUCUUUUUUGGUAAUUUAAUUACACAAAAAUACUUUUAGUUUUACACAAUCAAAUAGUUUAAUAGUUCAAAAGUACUUUUUUAAUUGACAACCAAACACCCAAUGACUUUUUGUCCAAAAGCUCUAUUAGUAUAAGCUCUACUACUAUAAGCUAUAUUUAAUAAGCUGUACCAAACGGAGCCUAAAGCAAGAAAGGCUCUCAGAGUAUAUUUAGGAUUUGUGAGUUUACAUUUUUAAUUAACUCCAAUAACUAUUGUGGAAUCCCAUUAAGAAGACAAAUACAUGUACAUUUUACUAGCAUAAGUUUAUUAUGAAAUUUUAUCAAGAAUCAUAAAAUAUGCACUGACAUAGAACUAGGGAUGGCAAUGGGGCAGAUAUGGGUUGGAUCUACUCUGCUCCAGAUCCAAAUCCAUAAUAAAAAUCAAGAUUCGUAUCUGCUCCAGAUCCGUCAUGAAUCCAUAUUUUUCGCUCCAUAUCCAUAUCCAAAAAAGAAAUAAAUAUCUAUAUCUGCUCCAAAUUCGAAAAAAAAAAUUAAAAUCCAAAUCUGCUCUAAAUCCGUCAUGAAUUCUAAAAUUUCAUAAUAAAAAAGUAAUAAUUUUUUAGAUUGAAAAUUGAAGGCUAAAAUAUAUUGAUAACAAAUAAAUUAUAUAAUUUUUCUCAAAAAUAUAAUAAAUAUUGUAGCUUAUACUUUUACACCAAAACAACAAAUAAGAAAUAUAAUAAAAUAUCAUUCCGAAGUAAUUGCAGGAGUAAGAUCAAUCUAAUAUUCUAUUAUCUCCUUCAUCGUUCUAAUAUCUACGAUACACCUACCCUCAUUCCUACAACAUUAGAUAAUGACAUAUAAAUUAAAUAUGAUUUAUAUUCAGUCCUUUAUUAUUUUUAUUAUGACCAUAUUUGACUAAAUAUAUGAAUAACUAUAUUCCUUAAAAAUUAUUUGACCAAUAUAAUAAAAUAAAUUACCAGGUUAUAUUACUUGGCUUGCAAUUUGAAUAUUGCAUGUACAUGCUUUGAGGUUGGCUGACCUUUAAAUUUACAAAACUAACCUUUAAGUUUUAAGAGUUUAAAUGCAUGAUAAAUACUACUAAUAUGUUAUGAAUAAAAUUUAUUAUCAUUAUAAUUUCACAAUUGUUAAGAAACUUUUAAAAUAAAAUAAAAUUAAAAGAUGAGUGGAUAUGGAUAUGGAUUUAGAUAUUAAGAUAGAUCCAGAUCUGCUCCAGAUCCAUCUUAGAUCCGCACAUCGAUAUCCAAAUCCGAUCCAAAUCCAUUUUAAACCGAUUCAAAUCCGAUCCGAUUGAAUUUGGAUCACGUGGAUCUUGGAUCAGAUCCAAUCCAUUGCCAUCCCUACAUAGAACUGCCUACUACAGCCUUCGCAGCGAGAGAAGGACGACGCUGCCUACUACAAGAAUGUCACAGAUUGUUUGGGGCCUAUCCGACUUUGUUUGGGGCCUGUCCGACUUGUACAAUUUUCAUAGGUCUUAACCUACAAAUUUUCAUAGGAACUAGUCGUACAUUUUGCAUUUUGGAUUUCUUACGUCGUGCUCAACUCUACUGUUUAUAUAGGGGUGUUCACAGAGGCUACUUAUUUUGUAUCCGGGCUUGUCUAUUUAUGUGUUUGUUGUUGAAGCUGAAGUAAUGUCCCCAGGUUCAAUUGGCUCAAGUUCCUUGUCGCGUUUUUUUCCUUUUUUCAUACACACACGCGCACACACACACACUCUCUCUUAACUUUCUUCUUCGUGAUGUAAUACUAGGCUGUUGCUUAAGAGAUUAAUGGUAUGUUGCUCUAUUUCGAUUCACUAUCUCUCAACAUAUGUAUGUGUUAUGUAAUUUAUACCCCAUUGCAUUGCGGCUUGGUAAGUGUUCUAGUUAUUUUGAUCCCUCAAAUUUUUAUUUUAAAAAAAAAUUCAGUGAACUUAGUGAUGUAAUCCUAUCCAUAAAUGUAUGGACUUAUCUUUCUGUGUGAAUUGCAUGCCUCAAAGCAUUAACAUCCUCUGGUGACUUAUGGUCGAGACUUCUAGUGGUUGAUUUCUAUUGUGUUUUGAUCCGAUUUCUUUCAGAAAUAUUUGUCUUAAAGCACAAAAACGUCGCUUUCAGAAAUAUUUUCCGUCAAAGCAUAAAUAUGUUUCCGAAAAAUAGCUUCGCAGUUUUCUUGAAACGCUGUUGGAAAUAUACCGUAGGAAAAAUUCAUCCCCUCUAUAUCAAAACCACCUUGUCACACUUGAAAAUGAGAAAUAGGAUAAUAUUUGUACAGCAUAUUGGUUUUUGUUGCAAUGCCUCUAUUUAACUGGUGAAAUGUGUCAUUUGCAUAAUAUCUUUAUUUUUGCAGGGUACAGUGUAGAGAUUACUUAACAAGGAGCAAAAGCAAGAUAGUUGAACUAUAUUCAAGAUUAAAACAUUAAAAAGAACUUGAGGAAGUCAUUAAUAUGAGAAACAGUAAGUGAAUGACAAGUUGGUAGAUUAGAUGGAAAUGUGAUAAUAGGUAGUACAGCCAAAACGAUCCCAAGUAAAAAUGAAACUAACACACAAAACAAUCCUUCUAAAGAAGCUCUCUCUCUUUGGAGGUGGUCCAGUGAUCAAAUGCCGCGGGUUCUGAGGGCUGGUACGCCUCUUCUUCUACUGAUAGUAAGAGGUCACGUCCAAUAGUCUGAACCUCAGACAUAAUAUCAUCUCUUUCACACUCUGAAAGGCCGAUGGCAGACAUCAUCCCGACGAUUUCCCUCCUGCCUCCUUCUUCGAUAUAAAACCGGCGCAUGGGGAUGAAAUCGUCGAAGUCUGAUUUGGUCAGCAGAUAGACCAUAUCCCACGUAUCCAUCAUCCUAAACAGCUGCUCUCUGCACUGCAGUUGAGCUUUCAUCUUGGUUGAAAGCAUCUUUGAUACCUGAAAUCCGAAACAUACUGAAAUCAGUGCAUGUACAAGCAGGUCAUGAAAAGAAUUGCAAAACAGAAGGCUGUAGAUAAUGUUAGAUUUAUCAACAUAUCAGAAAUAAAAUAACUCUAUAAAGAAAUGGGAUGAACAUAGCUGAAAGUAGAAGAGAAUAAAUAAGAGGAAAGAGAGAAUUCAUAAGAACGAAAGUUUCCCAAUAUUAAUUCAUUCAUAUCAUCCAUUACAAUAAGCCCUGUGCCCUCUUUAAAGGGAAAAGAUAUAAAUUCAAAAGUAAUGUUAUUACAAAAUUCCUUAACCUAAACAGAAAUGGAUUAUUAUAAUAUUAAACCAUAAGUGAUAUUUAUUGUAAUAAAAAUUCCUCAUAAUGAUAUAUUACAAUAAUACUGUUCCAAAAGAUUCUAAUAUGACCAGCAAAGAAAUCUAACAAAAUACUAAGUUCCAUGCCUACGUUUUGAAUACACAGGUAUAUCUUUAGGAUGUCUUACAUCAAUCCCCCCUGUUGGAAAAAGCUCGACUCCGAGGAAUAGUGCUGCAAAUAAGAGUCCAGUAACAUGGAAUCAAGACAGAAAAGCUUGUCCUUAGGGAGCCCUGCAUCAUCUAUGUCAAGGUGAUUCUUCCAUCGGAGCAAGAAUCAGCGAUAACCUCCAUUAGGUGAAGUCACAAAUUGAUCAUUAAGAUAUCUGCUAUAUCAUCAGCAGAUCCAGGUAAAAAUGGAGGUAAAUGAGGUGCCGGAACAGAUGAUGAAUCUGUAGACAUAUCAGGGGAAAAAAAAAAAAAAACUGGAGGCUCAAAAGUGGCCUGGUAAGGAAACAAGUCUGCUGCAUCAAUGCUGGACUAAUAGUCAAGUGCGAAGGCAAGUCUAGUAAGUAAGCAUUACUGCCCAGCUUUUAAAGAAUGCGAAAAGCUCCAGUGGCUCGUGUGUGUAAUUUUUGUGAGAAGUGUUUGGUAAAAUGUUCAGGACAUAUGCGAACCAUAACAUAAUCAUUUUCCCGAAAUCCUACAUGCCGAAGAUGUGCAUCAGCUGCCAGUUUAUGAUUUUCAUUACAAAGGGCAAUUCUCGCAUGUGUGGGGCAAAAUCAGAGGCAAAUUCAGGACGGCGAGAAUUAUGUGGUAUAGAGACAAGGUCAACAGGCUGACAUGGUGACAUGCCAUCAACAGUCAUAAAAGGGCUUUUUCCAGUGGUCCUGUGGACAGCAUUAUUAUAAGCAAAUUCAGGCAUAGGAAGAACAAGAUCCCAAUUACCAGGCUUAACACCUACUAAACAACAUAACAGUAUCCCAAACUAUGGUUAACAGCCUCAGUUUGACCAUCAGUUUGAGGUGAAAAGCAGAUGAAAAUUUUACGGUAUUCCAAAGUGUUUUCCAAAAAUAGCUAAAGAAUUUAACAUCCCUAUCAGACACUAUGGUAACAGGCAGACCAUGCAAUUUAACAAUCUCCUUAGAGAAUAACUUCACAACAUGCAAAGCAUCAGCAGUCCUAGCACAAGGAAUAAAAUGGGCCAAGCCAUCUUAGAAUAUUGAUCUACCACAACAAACCAGAAUCAUGACUGUGAGCAGUUUUUGGCAAUCCUAAGACAAAAUCCAUGCAUACGCCUCGUCAAGGAGUGUAAGGCACAGGCAGUGGGGUGUCCAACCCUCAAUUAUGUUUCUUAGCUUUAGCUAGUUGACGAGUUAUACACUGAGACACAAUCUUGGCGACAUCUUUUCUUAAUGAAGGCUAAUAGAAUCUAUCUUCAACUAAAGCUAUUGUCUUAUCUGUACCUAAGUGACCAGCUGAUCCUCCGGCAUGCAUUUCCCAAACAAGCAAGUCUUGAAAUGAGGCAUGGGGAAUGCAUAGGUGAACUCCUCUAAAAAAUAUCCAUUGUGAAUAAAAUAUCCCAAUAAAUUAUCCCAAACUCAGGACAAGAGGAGUAGACAGAUUUGGUCCUAUCAAAGCCUAAUACUUGGAUGCUCAAAGUAUGCAAAAGGUUAGCCACAUGGCUCAGAGCAUAAGCAACUUUGUUAUCCUCGCCUGGGCGAUGCCUAAGUACAAACAUAAAGGUCUGAAGAAACUCAACCCAUCUAUCAGUUAGCCUUUUUUGAGACUGAAGGUACUUGAAGGCUUGGUGGUCAGAGUACAGGACAAAUUCAUUAGACAACAAAUAGUUGCCAGUGACUAAGAGCCCUAAUAAUUGCAUAAAUCAUUAAGUUUUUCACUAGAAAGAGCUAUAUGAUGUCCCUCUUGACUUAAUGCAUCUCCUAUACCUACCCCAGAAGCAUCACAAGCUACCUCAAAGACUAUAUAAAAGUCAGGAUUCCUUAGGACAGGAGCUUCAGUCAUUUUUAACUUAAUUUCUUCAAGUGCCCUAGUGGCUGCAGGAGUCCAGUGAAACUCAUCUUAUCUCGCGCAAUUAGUAAUAAGAGCCAUAAUGGUGCUAAAUCCUCUAGUAAAUCUCCUGUAAAAUGAUGCAAAGUUGCAAACCCAUGAAAACUACAUACCUCGGUCAAAGUCUUAGGAAUAGGCCAAUCUUUAAUGGUUUUAACUUUUUGGGCAUCAGCAUUGAUACCCUCAGCAGACACUAAGAAACUUAGGAAAAGGGUGAGGAAGACCUGAUUAAGAUGAUCUAGGUGCUCCAUCAUAGACUAACCGUAGAUGAGAAUGUCAUCGAAGUAAACCACUAAAAAUUUUCCAAUAAAAGGGUCAUUACUCUCAUAAAAGUACUAGGUGCAUUUGACAUACCAAAAGGCAUAGCUAACCACUCAUAUAGGCCAUCUGGAGACUUGAAAGCUGUUUUCCAAUCAUCUCCAGGUCUAAUCCUAAUAUGAUGAUAUCCACUCCUUGGAUCUAUCUUAGAGAACCAUUGAGAACCAGCCAGUUCAUCUAGCAUAUCUUCAAGCCUAGGAAUGGAAACCUAUCCUUGAUAGUAAUUUUGUUAGUGGCUAGACUAUUAACACACAUUCUCCACGACAGAUCUUUCUUAGGGGUGAGCAGUACUAAGACAGGAAGGUGCAUUGAUCAGAUUACCGACCGGGGAUAAAACUUCACUUCCACUUAGCUCACGGCUAAGAACAUAAAUUUGCGGAAUCUCGACCUCAAUCUCAGACCCUGAUCAAAGGUCUAACCUUUGCUUUGGUGGUAUACCACUACCACUUCCUAUAGGCUACCCCCACUGCAGAGUGGUCAAUUCCGCUGCCAAUCAGUCGAUUCAGUCACGUAUCGAAGAGGGCUAUAUGUAGGCCGUUUGCUAUUGCGAUAAGGGCUGCUCGCCUUUAUACGGCUUGGCUUCGCUAUCGCUCCGUCGCCCUAAAAAGUCAUAUUCCUACCAUACAAGAAUGCCUAUUAUCUAGUGCUAGAAGCUAGAAGCUUCGCCAUAAGCAAGCAAGACGAGGUCGCUCUGCUUCGUAGACAAGUGAAUUUUUUGCCAAAAGUCCUUGUAUUUGUUUGUUUAACUCAACUGUAUCGGCAGGGUUCAUCCUAUAAUGUGGACAGUUUGGCAACUGAGAUCCUGGGACUAAGUCAAUGGCAUGCUGAAUAGAUCUCAUGGGAGGUAAUUGAUCGGGUAGCUCAUCAGGAGGAAUAUCCUGAAAGUUCUCUAACAAAUUAUUAAUCUCAGGGUAAUAGUCAAAUCUAGGCUCUAAAGUAUCAAGAGAAUUAUCUUGCAAUAUCAAACCUAGCAGGAUAGUUGUGUCUUCUAUGUCAUGCUCAAGAUUUUUUGAAAAUAAAAGUUUUAUGCCAUGAUUCACGACAAAGGAAAACAAGAUGUUGAAUUACCAUUCGAAGCUUAGAACCAUCAAUGAUUUUGAUGUUCGGAAUGAUGAUGAUAUGCUUAUCAGCCAAUGCAUCAACUAUAUCUUGCAGCACUUGCCGUAGUAAUUCAGUGAAUUGUGCUUGGCCCAACUCUUCCUCCCCUUCGGCUCCAUGUUUCUUCAAGAUGUCAUUUAGCUGAGGAAAUUCUGUUGAACGACACUCUACAUAUCAAUUAUAUCGACUUAAGAACAGUUCUAAGUGAUUGACGAAAAUAAAUUACUUCUUAGCACAUUUGAUACAUAGACAAAAGUUAAGAAACUGUGAUUUGGCAGCCGGAACUAACUACACUAUAACAAGAAAAUUUGAUCAAAUUACACAUAUAUGUACAAGCAAACCAAGAAACCUAGCACAUCCAAUAUAUGUACAUCACAAUUCAGAAUGAAAAGGAAGUGAACCUGAAAACGGAGGGACACCGAAUUCAACUCCCAUAUGACCAAGAGCAUUUUGUAUCUCGCCUUUGCAAACCUUGCCCUCAUCUUCAGUAUCCAGAUCAGCGAACAGAUUUUCGGCUAACAUGGUGAAAUCAUCUUCAUUCCCCAACCAUAACUCCUUUCGUUUUUAAAUCAUCUUUAUAUGCGUAGCUUUUUCAGGUGGGGCCUGUAUCUUUGUUGUUUCUUCGAAUGAAUCAAUAUGAAGACUCCACUAUGAAAUUGCAAGAACAAAUUGGAUGGUUCCAAGUAGGAUAUCUUUAAAACCAAACUGAAGGAAUCAUUUCUAAUUCCUUCCAAAAGUAAAGGAAUAAUAGUACAUGAAAAAGGCGACGAGACGACUAUCAUAUAUGUACAAUUAAUCGGAGUAACAUGAGUUUUGUGUUCCAAUUAAUGGCUUAUGUACAAUUUAUACAUUUGAUUAUUCAGUACAGCUAAUUAAUUCUGUCAACAGAAGACAGUAUCCACCCACUCUGCUUAGUAAAAAAGGGUAAAUUUAGAAAAUUUUUAUUAUCACUUCAACUGAACCAAAUAAAGCUUAGCAGCAAAAAAACUCAUUACCUUUGAGUUCAUCGGCGAUGGCAGUGAUGUAAUCAGAGGCCAGCUUAGAGGCGUGAUCUCUAUCAAACUCCUUGAUUCUGAAAGUGACGUCAUCGUCGGAGCCGGAAAUAUGUUUUAGAGCAGUUGACUUCAGGUUUUGAGGCAAUGAGAGACCGAAAAGGGAAGAGGAUGCUUCGUUUUCAGCAAAAUCGAGAAGCUGAGCUCCAGUGACGGUGCUGCUGUCGGAGGUGGGGAGGGCGAGGGGUUGAGAGAGUGAUCGGAGUUGGGUCCCGUCGAUGACCGUGAAGCCUCCAGCGGACAUUUUGAGUGUUUGAUUUUAGAGUUUGAUUGCGUCUGUCAUUUUGAGAUUUUAAAACAUGAAACAGGACUAAGAAAUUGAAGGGGAAUUGGGGAGGGCUGCUACUCUGAAAAAGGCGGGAUCGAUCCACGACAUCACCUUACUACACAUAUGAUGAAAUGCUGAGGAUGUCGGUUUUAGGAUAUUUAGUCUGCAAUUAAUUAAUUAUUAAUUUAUAUAGUGAGUGUGCUUUGUAGGAAAAUAGAAAAUUUUGAUGUUUAUUAUUUUAUGAAUUUAACGAAAUAUUAAUUUAACACAUUGGUCUAAAUCGAAACGAAUAAAAGUUAUAUUUAGUUGUGAUUAUUAGUUUAUUAAGUACUAAUUUAUAGAGGAUCUAUUAUAUUUACCAUUUUAUUUAAAAUUGUUUCUUUUAUUUUAAACUCAAAAACUGCAAAAAUUAAAAGAGAUUACUGCAUUCGCCAAAGAACGGCUAUGAGCAUUUUUCUCGCUCUCUUGUACGUGACGCUAUCCUAAUUACACUCAUCUCAAAUCUUUUUUGUUAGUUACCUUUGAUAUAAGGCAGCAAGACCCUACAUAAUUACUCAAACUGAACAUUAUUUUUCUAAAAAGUUUCAAAUAAAGAAUAAAUUAGUGACUUAGGUUUCUUGACCACUAAGGUUGUUUUAAAAUAAUUAAUAAUUUUAAUUGUACUAUUUUACUCUUAUAACAUAAAAUGAUGAAAUUACCUCAAAAAAACAUGUGUUAAAAAUGUUAAAACAAGUCAUAGAUCGCAAAAGGAAAAAAAAAAGAUUUAAUUACUUAAUUCUCCACACUUCUUACUCAUUUGAAUGUUUGAAAAAUAAUUUGAUUUUUUCAUAAAUAUAUAUUUUUUUAAAAAUGCAUUUAUAAAAAUUGAAGGAAAAUAUCACCACCCAUAAAUAAAUUGCAAGCAUUAAUUAAUUUAAAAAAUGCAUUUAAUUAGUUUUCUCUUUCAAACAUUAAUUUAUAUCUUUGGUCGUAGUUUUUCUCCUCUCUUCUCUACCUUAUCACCAUUCAUAAUCGGAAAGCUUCGAACUUAAAAAAAAAAAAAUGCAUUGUGCUAUGAAAAUGUUGAUUUGUCCAUGUAUAAUUGGAUUUGUAAAAUAGUCCUAUGAGUGAGUAAAGUUCGAGAAGAACAAAAAAAGGCGAAAACUACUUUGCUUCAUGUGUUUCGUACCCCACUCAUUUGUUAUUUACCAAAGUUACCGUUGGAUUUCAUCUGAUGGCUGUAAAAGAAACACAUAGAGAAAUAGGAGUAACUGGAGAAACAAGUAAUGGGUCGGUCACCUGGAUUGGUAAUUUUUUUUUUUUCGAUUUUCGGUGGGAGGGCAAAAGCCACUGCACCGCACCUGGAUUGGUAAUUGAGCAUAGGGAAAAUAACAAAAUUAAACUAAAAAUUUAUGAAUAAUUAGCUACUUCCGACAAAAAUCUAAGAAACCUGCAAUUUUUUAUCAAGCAAAUAAAUUAAUAGCAACAACAGCGGCUAAUCGAUGCGACAACAACAAUGGCUACUUCCGGCAACAACAGCCUCUUUAAUUUGAGUUAGUUCGCUGAGUUUAUGUCCGAAUUCUUAAAUGGAUAAUGAAUUUAUUGUUUUAGUACUAAUUGUUGAUGAUUAUAGGUUAGAUCUUGUUGAGCGAUUAGUUUUUUAACAUUAGGCUUGAAUUGGGAAUGAAAAUUGAUAAAAUGCUUAUGGAAAUAAGUUUGUUAAAUACGGCAAUACAAAUGUUUGCUAAAAUGCCUCAAAGAAUACAAUUUGUUGUUUAGCCUUAAUUUUGCUAUUAUUUUACUUGAAUGAAUAUCUAAGAAGGUUGCAACUAGUAUUGUCGCUUGAAUAUAGGCAAUGGUAUGGUGUUAUGGGUGAUUAUGAGUGAAAAGUUCUUGUCACGCUAACCUUGUAAGUGAAAACCUUGUUUUUCUCAAACAAAACCUAAAUUAAGAAGAUUCAAUACUUCAUCAUACCUUUCAGAAGACAGUAUCAAGACAAUAAUGUCGAGAACCAUCACCUAUAAACUUCAUCCGUCGGAAAGAUCGCAGAUGAUGUUACACGUACAAAUUUUUUUGUUUUUUUAUUUUUUAUUUUUUGAUUUACAAGUGCUACGCUUUCAGCCGGUUAUCCGUUUUUCAAAUGUUAAAUCUUAGUUGUUAGAUACCUUUCUUCACAAUCUAACGACUCAUUCGUUAUGAGAUAAAGGACUGGGGUACCAAACUUAUGACGCAAGAUAGCUGGAUCCACAAAAAAAUUAUAACAAUUGAAAGAAGAGCAUACGAGUCUUACAAUAUGAAAGAAUUCUCGCCUCAAUUCAAACAAUUAAAUUCAGGAGAAACCACAACCGAUUGUGAGCUCCCCAUUUAUCAUUUACUAAUUGCUAUUAUGAUUCUUUUUUGUCAAAUUCAUUUUCAUGUUUGACAACACCCAUAUCUUCCAUUUGGCAAGUUAGUUCAUCCUAUUUACCAUUGAUCGUGUAAAAUCUCAAGUAAUGUUACACCCGCAUAUUCUGUAAAUCGUUAUAAUGAUUUGAAUUAGUUAGUUUUUUAUUUUUUUAUAAACAUUAUUUUUGCCUUAUUUAAGUUAUUUGGUUAUUUUCAAAUCUUCAAAUUUGAAUUGAUUUGAAAAAGAUUAGAAACUAUCCCUUUUUUAUUUUCCUCAACUACUCAUGUUUUGGUAAAUCAAAACUCACUUUUUUUUUUAAACAAUAAUUAAUGAGGGUCACAUUAUUUGGGACUCAAAUGAUAAGGUCCCUAACAUUACACUUUUCCAAAAUUCAACACAUAUUACUGUCUUCUUUCUCAAUCAAAACUAAGAAAUUUAGUAUUUUCUUGCACUCGAUGGUGACGGCGGCAGAGGGGGAUGCACGAACAACUCUAUAGGUUGUGACAGACUGACAGUGGCAGUAGAGAUGGAGCAACCGAACCGAGCAAAGCUGCGUGCCAAGGCUAGCGAGUCAGCAACCGAGACGAGAUGAUGCCAACGGAGGGUGGUGGCUGCUGCUGGCUUCGAGUGUUGGAGGCGCGGCAGCCGCAGCGUUGUUGCUUAUGCUUUCCAAGGGAUUUGGCGAUUAGGGAUUUCAAGGCAGCCGGUGGCGGUGGCACCGUGGCAGCGCGGCUGCUUAUGCUUUUCAGAAGGGAAUGCAAUCUGUAGGUUGGCAAUUUAAGGGUCUGGGCCGGGCUUUGCCAAGCCCAGGAUCAGGCCUAUAUAAUUUUAAAUAAGUUUAGGUCCUCUCAAAGUCCAUUCAAGUUGAGCGGACUUUGGACGGGCCGGGCCUUGACGGGUUUGGGUCGGGCCGCGGGCCAAGCCCGGGCUUUUACGAGAUUUUAAAUUUUUUUAAAAAAAUAAAAUUAUAAAUUUUCAAAACAUAAUUAACCAAUACAUAAUACUAUAAUAGGUUAAAAACUUAAAUAUAAUUCUCUAAUACAUGAUUAGCAACACAAAAUAUAAAAAUACUAACAAUACAAAUACCGUACACAACGUACAAAUCAACCACUAAUAUAAAAAAAAAAACUAAUAGAAAUUUACCGAUUUAAGAAUUUUGACAUUUUGUGACAAAACCUUUGCCCUUUCCCUUUGCCCGAUUUUUUUAUUAUUUUGUUUAAUUAUUUUUUCAAUUUUAUAAUAUAUUAUACAUUUUUUAAUAUAUAUAUAUAUAUAUAUAUAUAUAUAUUAUACAUAUAUAUAUAUAUUUUAUAAUACAUAUAUUUAUUUUGUAAAGCAAUUAUUUUUUUUUUCCAAUUUUAUAAUAUAUUAUACAUUUUUUAAUAUAUAUAUAUAUAUAUAAAGCCAUUAUCCAUAAUAUUAUAUAUAUAUAUAUAUAUAUAUAUAUAUUAUUUAUUAUAAAGCCCAGGCUUAAGCCCGGGCUUUUCAUUUAGGCCCUUGACUGAGCCCAUAUGUUAUGAGCUUUAUUAACUUUGAGCCCUUACCCAUAAUUUCAAGCCACGGGCAGGGCUUCAAGCCCGCGGGCCUGGGCCGGGCCGAUGUGGGCCUAGGCUGGCCCGGGCUUUUCUGCCAACCCUAGCAAUCUGCUACUUAUGCUUACUGUAUUAGGGAUUUGGAUUUGGGCGAUUUGGGCAAUUGGGUUUUGAUUUUUGUAUUUAAAUUUUUUUUUUAAUAUACCGGGUCCGGAUUCUGGGUUUUUGGGGCUGAGACCGGAACCGGGAUUGGAAAUGUCCGGGUUUGAGAAUUUCGCACCGUAUAUUUUUCUUAUAAAACUCCAUUUCGGAUAAAUUUACAUUUAAAGACAAAAUAACAAUAACACACAUUUAAUUUUUUUUGAACAAAUUACUUACAUUCAUUAUUAAAUUUUUUUUUUUUACCUCUCACUUCAAUUUAUCAAACUAAAAUAAGUUGUAGAAAUUUCAAAUAAUAUACAUAUUUUUUUAUUUUUAAUUAAUUAAAUAUUUUUAUACUUAAAAUUUUUUAAAAUUAUAAUUUAAAAUAAGUGCACUUUAAGUUAAUGGUUGACAUUCAAAAAUUCAUCAUUUAUAAAAUUUCAAAAUUUAUGUGUAGGGCGAUGACAAGAUUAUUAAAGAAAAGAAAAUAACAAAAUCGUACUUUGAAUUUUAAUAAUUAAAAAAAUAAAAACUAGAUGAAAUAUUUUAAAAUAAAAAAGAUAUUUUUUUAAAAUAAAAUAAAAAUAAUUGAAAAGGAGUUUUAUGAGGAGAAUCGAGGGUUGCCGAUAAUCAUCGCCCACAAGGAUUUCCUAUUGAGUAUAGGAAUCCCUUUGUCGCAAUGAAACUAGGAAUAUAUAAAUCAAGUGAGUUUGUGAGACCUUCUUCUCUUAAUUCUUUCAUAAGCAGUUCUCUAAUUUCUCUCUGCGAUUUUUAUUCAUUCAGUACCCUCAAUCGUUCAUCUGAUCUCACCCAAUUCUCUUUCUCAUCGAUCUCUUUUGAUUUUAAUAUUAAUCUAAGAAAUCAGAGCAUUAAGCAUCGAUCCCUUUUGAGUCUAAUUGUCAUGGGUUUAUCAAAAAACAUUGAUUUUGAAAUUACUCUAAGAAAUCAGAGCAUUAAGCGUCGAUCCCUUUUGCGUUCAAUGGUCAUGGGUUUGCCAAGAAACAGGAGGAGCAGGGAAUAUGCUGAAUCCAUGAAAUCCAAGUUGCCAUCGGAUAUAAAAAAGAAGAGAAAAUUUGAAGAAGAGGAGCAUGCGGCUUUUACUUGUUCCAAGAAACCUCCUGCUACAGUUUCUAAAAAUGAAGAGUUCAAGUGUUCUGAUGUCGAUGCUACACGUAACCAAUUUCGUGAGCGUCUUGUAGAGGGAUUGUCUAAAGUUUAUGAAGAGAAUAAUGAAGAGAUGAUGAAGGAGCAAUUAGGAGCUUGUGACCUAGUUGGAGUUGCUGCAUCAGUAGAAUCAGCGCUGUUCAAAACGUUGGGUCCUAUCACUGGGUCAAACAGACCCCAGUAUAGAACCAUCUUGUUCAGUGUUAGGGAUUCAACAAAUCCUGACUUUAGAAGAAAGAUUCUUCUUGGAGAAGUGAAGCCUGAGAGCAUUCCUACCAUGACGGAUGAAGAGAUGUCUAGCCAUAAAGUACAACAGGAGAUUCGCGAGAUUAGGGAGAGAGUUUUAGCCAAGAUUCCGGACUCAGUUGAUGAUGAUGAUGAUCCCUAUGAGAGAUUAAAAGCUGAUGAUCGUUGGCUCUUUUAUAGGUCUUAUAUAGGUUAAUUAAUAUGAUGCUUUUAAUUAAGCUACUACUUUGAGUUAUUGGGUUUUCAUUUUCAUUUUGUUCAAUUGUACUUUGACUUUGAGUUAUUUGGUUUUCAUAUUCAUUUUGUUCAAUUGGACUUUGAAAUGGUAUUUUAAUUCUCUGAUCACUUCCUUUAUCACAUGACAACAAAUAUGUUUAAUCCCUCUUCAUUCUUUCAUCAUAUACAUAGCAACGUCGCAACUUCCAUCUAUAUAUUUGACAUCAUUAAACGGGUAACAACGCAAUUGUGUAGGAACCUAUAUUUGUCUUUGUAUAAUUGAAACAGGCGCAAAAUUAUCAUUUAGGGAAAAAAGAAAAAAACAUAACAGACAAUAACUAUCAAAGUCAUUUCAGCAUUCACAGUUCACAUAGGAUUUUAUCCUUCGUUAUGGGAUGAUGUAGGCCUGUAUGUUGGACUUGAUCGAGAAUAUGAGGGAGAUGGUGGUGAAUACGAAGUUGAUGUCGGACUGCACACAAAGAAAAAGAUAAUUUCGGAUUACAUAACCAUAAUUCAUCGGACAAAAAAAAUUUAACCACCUGUCCAAUACCAACCUACAGGAACAAGAAAGCUAGCAUAGCCACAAAGAUAUUUCAUGUGAGUAGAAUUCUAUCAAAAGCAAGGCCUAAUAAACCAGAUAUGACCCUAAACACAAAUAUUAGACUUGACCUAUAGAUUUGCAUUAUGGCUUACCUGUACGUUGGACUUAUGGACUGGCAGGUGACAUUCUUGCACUACUUGGUGAGUAGGCCAGCGAUCGUCUGUAUGUGGCUGACUGAGGAUUAUAACUUUGGGAUGUAGGGCUGUAGGCUGGUGCAGUUCUUGGUGAAGUUCGGCUGUAACGAGGAGAAGUGGGGCUAUAGGCUGGCAAAGUGGGGCUGAAUGAUGGCGAUAUAGGGCUGUAGGAUGGUGAGGUAGGCCCGUACAAAGGCGAUGUGCUGCUGUACAAAGGAGAGGUUGGACUUGUGCUGUACAAAGGAGAGGUUGGACUGUAAGAUGGUGUAGCAGGAUUGUAUAUGCAGGUGGGGUGCUGUAACUUGGAGAGUUUGGGUUGUAGUUCGGGGAGGUAUGGCCGUAGCCUAGGGAAGAAGGCGAUUAAGAUGGACUUGUAGGAGAAUAGGCAGGACUGGUUGGACUACAACGAAGAAUUGGUGAGUUAGAGCUAUAACCAGGGGAGGUGGGACUGUAUCCAGGUGACGUGGGAUUUUGUCCAGGAGAUGAUGGAUUGUAGCCUGGUGAUGAUGGGCUGUAUCCUCAAGGUGUAGUAGGAGAGAAGGCCAAUGC
rnacentral:lncRNA from 1 species